GAGGCGGUAGCUCAAUCAGGAAGAGCGUCAGAUUCAGAGUCUGAAGGCAGCCAAGCAAACAGCGGCUGUAUUAUCGGUUCAAAUCCGAUCCGCCUCA
rnacentral:tRNA from 1 species